CAAAGACUGCCAAAUACUCUGCUUCUGCUUCUGUACUUCUUGCUUGCAACCCUAGAAAACUGCUGGUUCUAUAGUAUUCUGGGCCUGACCUCUUUGGGAAAGAUCCCAGUCAGUGUGUCAUCUGUCUCCAGCCUCUGAAAAAAAAUUAUUCACAUGAUAAUUCAGCUUUCUCCUGGAAAACUGUGACAAUUCAAAAAGAAUUUAUUGCAGAGAAUGAGAAGUCUUUACCUAAGACUUUUUGACCCACGGCAUCUGGGAAACAAUAUAAAAAUUCAAGGACAACUACACUGAGGACCAAAUUGUCAAGGCUUGAGGUAAAAGUGGAGAAACAUGGCUCGUCAGAGAUCUUCAAUUGUUUGUUCAAAUGGAAACCACCAAAUACUGGCCCAGAUAAAGAGUGACUACAUCUUGCCUCUCUUAACCUUUUGGCCUCAAUUUCACUCUCCCUCAGUUUUGG